ACGAAAUCCCGUCCACACCAACGGAAAUGAUUCGCGAAAGCUACGACUUUUUUUCGUACCGCGAGGCAAAGGUGCGAAUUAAGGAGUUGAUGGAGUCAAAUAGGAACAACGACCAGAUCGUCUUGUUCUUCGUGGCGUCGAGAGAUCGGAACGGGAAGGUUUGGCAUCACGACAGCAAUAUUGCCGAGAGAGCGGUGUCCUUCCUCAUCAAAAAGAUCCAGGCGGGGGGAACUUUUAUCAAAAUUUCGACUGGAAACAGGACGCAAUGGAAUGAAAGUUCGAGCAAUCCGUGGCGACGUGAUCCCCAGUUUGGACUCAUCUCGAUCCCCACUCUCAUGGUUUGCAGUACGACGAAGAAACUCAACGGGAGGAAAAUGUUCGACAUGGAAUCAAUCAUCGCACUUUUGAAGGAUUAAUAAGAACAGUUGAAUUUUAUUUAUCAAAAUUUCAUUCAUGCAAAUUAACAAAAUAUAUAAAGGACUGAUGUCAUAAUGCUACCCAAUUAAUUAAUAACGACUCAAAAAAAUUGAAACGAUUGUUUGUAAACUGUGUAAAUUUUAGUGCAAAAUUUAAAAAAAAGAAAGAAACGCCUUCGCCUUCGCUGUGUAAAUUUGUGCCCUGAUUUACAUUCGCAUAAUUUUUGCAAACUUUUUCAAGCAGAUUUUAUAGAAUUGCAAAUAUCAUCGCGAAUUCCACAGAAUUACCUUAAAUCUUUGUAAACUUGUAGAAACGGUAAUACACAUUUUUACGAAAAUUACCCAUUACAAGCAUCUUCGUUAAUUGCGCCAUCAAUUAUUUGCAAAAAAAACUACUGCACACACACCACGAAUUGAUUGAUCAAGCAUGGCGCAACAUAUUUAUGAUCUAUCCACAUACAUACGUGCAAAAAAACUGAUCGACCCCUACGACCAAUUUCAAGAUCGCAUCCUACGCAAUGCAGUUGCACUUAAGGAAAAAAAAAUCCUGUUAUUAUUUCAUCAGUUUUUGUGGAAACGUACCUACCUGCACCCAUGUCAAAGUAGCGUUACGCUUUAACAGACAGAAAACAAUGGGAUUCUCUUCACAAUUGCAAUCCCUUCAGCGAGUCCCUAACGAACAGUUAGGUUUAUAACAGUUAAACAUAAGAAAAAGUAACCCUUUUCUUCGCAAUGCAUGCAUGCAGACAUACAUCACACCAAUUUAUUAUUUGGUUUAGUUAGUUGUUGUUGUUACAAUAAGUUGACGGUGUUUGUUGGUUUGGUUGACCGUAAUUUGGUUUCACUUGGUUCGUAGUAGAAACUCGCAUCGCAACUACAGAGUGAGACAGACAGUGCAGGGUGCAGGUCUCUAAUCUAAUAGGAGAGAUUGGAUAAGAAGACGAUACCAUUUUUGUGGAGGAAAAUAAGAAUAAUUCUGACGGAAAUUUGCACAAAAAUUUCUGAGAGGAGAGAUUGAAUCAGAAGAUACCGUUUUUUAGAAGAAAAUAAUAUAAUGUCGUGGACUCCAUACUACUCGACGGUAGGAUCCUUUGCGGAUGAAGUAGUGAAUUUUAUCUGUCUCGUGGGGCUCGUGAUGGCGAUAUCGAUUGUCCUCUUGUGGGGGACGAGCUUCAUAAUUUUGAUGGGCUGGACCAAGAGUAUGAACGCCUCGGGGAAAAAGGAGGACAAUCUGAUGAGCGACAUGGUGAAUAAUAACGAGUACAGUAAUUCUGGAAAAGUUGGGGCGAAUAAGAGAGUAUUAAAAUCGUUAUGAGUAAGUAAGACCGUGGAUAAGAAUCCUUAUCUUGACCUUAUCUUGAAUUUAUUUUAUUUUAUUUUUUACAUAAAACAAUGUUAGUAAUUCUUCUUGUAAAUAACAUAUAUUUAAAGCUCUCUCGGUUUAAAAAGAUUGAUGAUAUUAAAUAAUAGACGGAGCAGGUGAUAGUUUUAGUGUAAUUAAUGUGUCAUUAAAUUUAAAUGGAAUGGAGAAUAAUUGUGUCCUGGAAUUGUCCUGAGUUGUGUUGUGAAGUGGACAAAAUAAAAGCUUGCGUAAAUUA